rnacentral:rRNA from 1 species
AACGAACGCUGGCGGCAGGCUUAACACAUGCAAGUCGAGCGCCCCGCAAGGGGAGCGGCAGACGGGUGAGUAACGCGUGGGAAUCUUCCCAUCUCUACGGAAUAACGCAUGGAAACGUGUGCUAAUACCGUAUACGUCCUUCGGGAGAAAGAUUUAUCGGAGAUGGAUGAGCCCGCGUUGGAUUAGCUAGUUGGUGGGGUAAAGGCCUAUCAAGGCGACGAUCCAUAGCUGGGCUGAGAGGAUGAUCAGCCACACUGGGACUGAGACACGGCCCAGACUCCUACGGGAGGCAGCAGUGGGGAAUAUUGGACAAUGGGCGCAAGCCUGAUCCAGCCAUGCCGCGUGAGUGAUGAAGGCCCUAGGGUUUUAAAGCUCUUUCACCGGUGAAGAUAAUGACGGUAACCGGAGAAGAAGCCCCGGCUAACUUCGUGCCAGCAGCCGCCGUAACAC